AAACCGUAAACGAUAAUGAACUGUUGUAACGAUAGAAAAAGUUAGCUUUUUUGGAAAGGACAUAAAAAAUGAAAGAAUAAUUCAGUGCUGAAAGUGGAUUGUGUCUUAAAAAAUAAAAGUAAAUACGAGUAAUGCGAACUUAAAAAAGUUGAGAAAAAGUUAUGCUUAAUAAAAUACGCAUUACGUUGUGAUAUACGUAUAUUAAACUUUUAUGAAUAUUGCUCUACUAUCUGAAUUAUGCGAAAGUUGGAACGAAACUGUUAAUCAUAAUGCUUGUUUUAUGAGGUAUAAUGAUAUAUAGCUGGUAUACCAUGAGAAAUAUCGGAGCAACGAAUUUCCAACAGACUCUCCAAUAGAUUCCAGGCACUGCGGGAAAUGUUCGGAUUCUUAUCAUCUUUGAUGACAUCUGCCGUGUGACAAGAGGCUGAUAUGAAGAGCGAGGAAAAAAGUGAUGUGCGAGCCACUCGCAUCAUCGUGUUAGCUUCAUAACUGAAUUGCAGAAUAUUUAGAGCACCAGUGGCAGCAAGGUGCUUUUAGAUCAAAAGUGAACACACACAGAUGUCAUCCUCCAAGUUUUAUAUAUAAAAUAUAAAUUCCCUCGGAUACAUUGAACAUUCCUGGUCGUUAUUCCGUCUUCGUUUUUCCCAAUAAAUUUUCCGUCGCCCGUAACCACGGAAACGUAAUCGCAUUAAACAAGGAUAUUCCGUUCUUCUUAUGCCUCGCAGUUACCUUGAUGAAUUUUUCUUUUU